rfam:Spinacia oleracea cultivar SynViroflay scaffold14553.con0003.1, whole genome shotgun sequence.
UUUAUGAUCGUCGAUCGUCUUCCAUUCUAUCAAUCAAAAAACAAAGGCAAAAGCGAAGAUGAGCUAUCGUUUCAGUCGUCAUCUUGUACCUUUUCUCAAUUGACGAUUCGAUUGUUGACUCACCUACAU